GAUGAACGCUGGCGGCGUGCUUAACACAUGCAAGUCGAACGAUGAAAGCGGGAGCUUGCUCCUGCUGGAUUAGUGGCGAACGGGUGAGUAACACGUGAGUAACCUGCCCUUGACUCUGGGAUAAGCGUUGGAAACGACGUCUAAUACCGGAUACGAGCUUCAGUCGCAUGACUAGGAGCUGGAAAGAAUUUCGGUCAAGGAUGGACUCGCGGCCUAUCAGCUAGUUGGUGAGGUAAUGGCUCACCAAGGCGACGAUGGGUAGCCGGCCUGGGAGGUUGACCGGCCACACUUGGACUGAGACACGGCCCAGACUCCUACGGGAGGCAGCAGUGGAGAAUAUUGCACAAUGGGAGAGAGCCUGACGCAGCAACGCCGCGUGAGGGACGACGGCCUUCGGGUUGUAAACCUCUUUUAGUAGGGAAGAAGCGAAAGUGACGGUACCUGCAGAAAAAGCACCGGCUAACUACGUGCCAGCAGCCGCGGUAAAAC
rnacentral:rRNA from 1 species